rnacentral:lncRNA from 1 species
AUGAGAGCGGCGACAAGGGGAGAGAUUGAAAACGCGGAUGUCUCUCUGGAAAGAGAAAUGCGCGGAUCGAGAGAGCUGCGCGCUGACUGGAAGGAGAGCGAGAGAGAUGGAGGCGGGGGGAAGUCUCUCAGCUCUGCGGGGACUGGAGCGCCCGUGCCCUGGACCGGCGGCGCAGUGCUGGCUAACAUUCAACCCUCCCCUUGUUCCACCACCAGUUCCACACACAAGUCAGCGACAGCCUUUGAAGACCCUGCUGCCAUACGGGCUGCUCACGCCGCGCUCUCACCCCGCAUUCCUCGUCCCUCGAAAGUCGGGGCAAAUAACCAGAUUUCUUCACGAGUGAUUCCCGACAAUGAAUGGAGAAAUGGACUCCUCUG